UAGCAUAAUCAUUAGUUUUUUAAUUGAAAGCUUGUAUGAAUGGUUAAACAAAAGAAGUUCUGUCUCUUUUUUAAAAAUUGAAUUUAACUUUUAAGUGAAAAGGCUUAAAUUUUUUAGGGGGACGAUAAGACCCUAUAAAGCUUUAUAAAAAAGUUAAUAAUUUCUGAAAAUAAUUUAUAUAAUGAAUUUAUUUUUUUUUAUUUUGUUGGGGCGAUUCAAAUAUAAAUAUAAUUAACUGUUAGAUUUAAAUACAUAGAUUCAUGUAGUUUAAAUGAUCCUGGUUAUAGAUUAAAAGACAAAGUUACUUUAGGGAUAACAGCGUUAUUUCUUUUAAGAGUUCUUAUUGAAAAAAAAGUUUGCGACCUCGAUGUUGAAUUAAAAUAUCUCUACAGUGUACCCGUUGUAGGAAAA
rnacentral:rRNA from 1 species